GACACUUUCCUUUUGAAUGGUAGUUUUCGUUAAAAGAAAGUCUCUGGGACAACAGUUUACGCUCAAGCAUAAGCCCAGUUUGGGCAGAACACAGCAUAUAUAAUCGUUUUCCAUACUGAGCAAACAUUUCAAUAAACUGCUGCGAGUAGAUUGUCCAAACAUUUGAGAUGGCUGACCCGCGCGCUGUUGUUGUUAUUGUCGUUGCUGUGCGGAUGGCUUUGUUGCUUGGAUACUGUGGGCUCCCUUAACGAGUAGCCCUGAUUUGGCAAUGUCUGAAGCUGAACGCCACCAGACAAUUAUAGGUGACCGUUGUUAUAGUGAAGCUGAACACCACCAGACAAUUAUAGGUGACCAUUGUUAUAGUGAAGCUGAACACCACCAGACAAUUAUAGGUGACCGUUAUUAUAGUGAAGCUGAACGCCACCAGACAAUUAUAGGUGACCGUUGUUAUAGUGAAGCUGAACACCACCAGACAAUUAUAGGUGACCGUUGUUAUAGUGAAGCUGAACACCACCAGACAAUUAUAGGUGACCGUUGUUAUAGUGAAGCUGAACACCACCAGACAAUUAUAGGUGACCGUUGCCGUUGUUAUAGUGAAGCUGAACACCACCAGACAAUUAUAGGUGACCGUUGUUAUAGUGAAGCUGAACACCACCAGACAAUUAUAGGUGACCGUUGUUAUAGUGAAGCUGAACACCACCAGACAAUUAUAGGUGACCGUUGUUAUAGUGAAGCUGAACACCACCAGACAAUUAUAGGUGACCGUUGUUAUAGUGUGAUAUCCCCUGCUGUGAAAGGAAGAUAGAGAUAAAAAUCAAUUGAACUCCACAAAAUAUGACUUUUCAGAGUUGUUUUAGGGGGACUUGUUCACAGUUUGAUGAAAUGACGAGUUUACAA